UUCAAUAGAGGCGCGGCUAUUAUCAGUACAUACGGAUAAUGCAGGGAGGCAGUCCGUAUCGAAAGGAAUCACCGCCGAAGCAGGAAAGGGUCCCGGCCUUUUCUGCUGGGACGUCGGGAAAUACCCGUCGUACUGUCACGACUACGUGGAGCGCUAUUGA
rnacentral:ncRNA from 1 species